UACGUUCCCGGGCCUUGUACACACCGCCCGUCACACCACGAAAGCCCUUUGCAACCGAAAUUGCCUCUCGUAGGCAAUGAAAUUGUGAAUGGUGAUUGGGGUG
rnacentral:rRNA from 1 species